rnacentral:rRNA from 1 species
CCAGACUCCUACGGGAGGCAGCAGUGGGGAAUAUUGCACAAUGGGGGAAACCCUGAUGCAGCGACGCCGCGUGAGCGAAGAAGUACCUCGGUAUGUAAAGCUCUAUCAGCAGGGAAGAAAAUGACGGUACCUGACUAAGAAGCCCCGGCUGACUACGUGCCAGCAGCCGCGGUAAUACGUAGGGGGCAAGCGUUAUCCGGAUUUACUGGGUGUAAAGGGAGCGUAGACGGCAUGGCAAGUCAGAUGUGAAAGCCCGGGGCUCAACCCCGGGACUGCAUUUGAAACUGUCAGGCUGGAGUGCAGGAGAGGUAAGUGGAAUUCCUAGUGUAGCGGUGAAAUGCGUAGAUAUUAGGAGGAACACCAGUGGCGAAGGCGGCUUGCUGGACUGUAACUGACGUUGAGGCUCGAAAGCGUGGGGAGCAAACAGGAUUAGAUACCCUAGUAU